rnacentral:rRNA from 1 species
CAGCCGCCGCGGGAAGACAGAGGAUGCAAGCGUUAUCCGGAAUGAUUGGGCGUAAAGCGUCUGUAGGUGGCUUUUCAAGUCCGCCGUCAAAUCCCAGGGCUCAACCCUGGACAGGCGGUGGAAACUACCAAGCUGGGGUACGGUAGGGGCAGAGGGAAUUUUCGGUGGAGCGGUGAAAUGCGUUGAGAUCGGAAAGAACACCAACGGCGAAAGCACUCUGCUGGGCCGACACUGACACUGAGAGACGAAAGCUAGGGGAGCAAACAGGAUUAGAUACCCCAGUAGUCCCUGUCUCUUAUAC